rnacentral:rRNA from 1 species
ACCCGCGUACAUGCCACCGGGGCAUCCCGGAGGCAGGAAAGGCUUCGGCCGGACAGGGAUGGGCAUGCGGCGCAUUAGGCAGUAGGCGGGGUAACGGCCCACCUAACCGACGAUGCGUAGGGGUUCUGAGAGGAAGGUCCCCCACACUGGUACUGAGACACGGACCAGACUCCUACGGGAGGCAGCAGUGAGGAAUAUUGGUCAAUGGUCGGGAGACUGAACCAGCCAAGCCGCGUGAGGGAUGAAGGCACAGAGUAUCGUAAACCUCUUUUGUCAGGGAACAAAGGCGGGGACGUGUCCCCGGAUGAGUGUACCUGAAGAAAAAGCAUCGGCUAACUCCGUGCCUGCAGCCGCGGUAAUACGGAGGAUGCGAGCGUUAUCCGGAUUUAUUGGGUUUAAAGGGUGCGCAGGCGGUCUGUUAAGUCAGCGGUCAAAGCCCGGGGCUCAACCCCGGUCCGCCGUUGAAACUGGCAGUCUCGAGUUGGAGAGAAGUAUGCGGAAUGCGCGGUGUAGCGGUGAAAUGCAUAGAUAUCGCGCAGAACUCCGAUUGCGAAGGCAGCAUGCCGGCUCCACACUGACGCUGAGGCACGAAAGCGUGGGUAUCGAACAAGAUUAGAUACCCUGGUAGUCCACGCAGUAAACG